rnacentral:rRNA from 1 species
UACGAAGGGGGCUAGCGUUGUUCGGAAUUACUGGGCGUAAAGGGUGCGUAGGCGGUCGGGUAAGUCUGAUGUGAAAUCUCACAGCUUAACUGUGAAACUGCAUUGGAUACUAUCCGGCUCGAGGAAUGGAGGGGAGACUGGAAUGCUUGGUGUAGCAGUGAAAUGCGUAGAUAUCAAGUGGAACACCAGUGGCGAAGGCGAGUCUCUGGACAUUUCCUGACGCUGAGGCACGAAAGCCAGGGGAGCAAACGGG